AGAAAAAGCUGCUUCUGAUCAUCUGUGUAGAGAUCAAGUGCAGGAAAAGGGCAUCCAAAAGACCAAGGACGUGUAAGAUUCAAAGCUCCCAUCCAAAGGCAGAAACACCACCAAAUUUUUGAUGUGGUUUACUACUCUUUUGUGGGAUCCUACUCCAUGACAGCCAAACAGCCAGGAGAUGAGGUGCUGUUUGCAGAUGUGGCCAGAAGAAAGAAAAGGACACAAUAGAGGCUGCAGAAAAGAGAUGGAAGAGAUUCAGCAAAUAUAAUGAAAUAUCUGCUCAGAAGGGGCAGAAACAAAGAAAAAUUAAAUGUUACAAGAGCUGAAAAAGAAAGGGACAGCUUUUUGCUGGUAAAGAGCAUGAGUAAUUAGGUUAUCCUACAUAAUCUGUGGAGAAGACUGGGAAUCCCAGAAGGAGAUAAUGACACUACCAGAUCAUGGCUGGAAUGCAGCCUGUAGGAGAUUGAAAUUUCUGGAAAAGAGAUCUUUCAAAGAAAUAUUUCUUCCUGCUUAUGAGAAGGGGAUCUUCCUCCUGUCACCAGAAUUUUCAUCAAGACAAUUAUCUGUUGCUAGGUCUCAUGCAGCUGCACCUAUCAAGCCUGAAAAGAAGAAACCUAGAAAUAGCAACAUCCAUGGACAAGCUGAGGUGCAUGCCACAGCCAGAUGUGGAGACCAGCAUGUCAUAAAGACCCAGAAAUGAUUCUUGCAGCAAGUAUAAAUGCUGCAGGAUUUCUUGCUGUUGGAUGUGUUAGACUUACUGUAGCCUCCAUCCGAGCUUAUUUCUGGUACAAAUGUUUUCCAGUGAUGAUUAGAGGUAUCUGUGACACACAGGUGGUAUUCUGCAAAAAAAAGAGCUGGAAAGCCCACAAGCCUACGAGCUCAGCUGACAUGGGUAAGGCACAUCAUCUUCUAUAGCCUGAGGCACAAACAAGGAUGAUGUGGCUGGUAUUGCGUGAAGCAUUUCCCCUGCCCUGCCAAAUGACCAAAGACCUGCUAACAGUUGGAUCAGUAGAGAAAUGGCUUUCACGGGAGCCAAAAAAAAAGGCUAAAAUGUGUCUGUUAAUGUGGUGAGACAAUCUGCUGGGGUCCCUGAAACGAAGAUGAGUGACAGCCCUCGUGUGAAAAGACAGUUGAGAUUUUCUCCUCCUGCAGAGGAAAAAUUGCUGGAGUUAUGUGAAACCUGCCCCCACUCCAUCAGCACUUCGAGUUUUUACAAACUUAUAAAAGCUGUUAGCACCCCCUGCUAUUUCAGACCCCCAUAGGGGGAAAGAAAAAUAGGAUGAAGUCGUUCAACCUCCUCACUCUCCUGCUCGGUGUUCCUGAAAUUUAAAAUGCCUUCCUUUUCAGGGAGGGGUGCCCAGAGGAGACACAAUUGCUACCUGAGCUGCAAAGGUUUGCCUGGAGGCAGGACAGUGUAACACUGCAGGGUGAGGAUCCUGAGGCUGGAUGAAGAACUUGGUCAUUCUAUUACAGGAUAUGUGGAGAUGGGGGAAUAUGCCUUACUGCAAGGCUGAGGAUAAACAGAAGCUUAGAACAAGGCCUAUAGUGGUAUGGGCAUGGGUAUGGCACAGCAUCCCUGCUGUGAGCCCUGCCAGGGCUCCCUCCUGUAAAAAUCCCUGCAACAAAAUGCUCACUGGGGAUAUUUAAG